rnacentral:ribozyme from 1 species
CUGAAGAAAAGAAAAGAGGAAAAAGUUGAAAAAAAAAAAAUAGCUCGUUCCUCCCCUCUCGUCUUCUCUAACACCUUGGAUGUUCAUUUUUUUUUCUC